rnacentral:rRNA from 1 species
AGAGUUUGAUCCUGGCUCAGGAUGAACGCUAGCGGCAGGCUUAACACAUGCAAGUCGAGGGGCAGCGGGGAGUAGCAAUACUCCGCCGGCGACCGGCGCACGGGUGCGUAACGCGUAUGCAACCUACCUUUAACAGGGGCAUAACACUGAGAAAUUGGUACUAAUUCCCCAUAACAUUCGAGAAGGCAUCUUCUUGGGUUAAAAACUCCGGUGGUUAAAGAUGGGCAUGCGUUGUAUUAGCUAGUUGGUGAGGUAACGGCUCACCAAGGCGACGAUACAUAGGGGGACUGAGAGGUUAACCCCCCACAUUGGUACUGAGACACGGACCAAACUCCUACGGGAGGCAGCAGUGAGGAAUAUUGGUCAAUGGACGCAAGUCUGAACCAGCCAUGCCGCGUGCAGGAAGACGGCUCUAUGAGUUGUAAACUGCUUUUGUACUAGGGUAAUUUGCGGUACGUGUACCGUAUUGAAAGUAUAGUACGAAUAAGGAUCGGCUAACUCCGUGCCAGCAGCCGCGGUAAUACGGAGGAUCCAAGCGUUAUCCGGAUUUAUUGGGUUUAAAGGGUGCGUAGGCGGUUUGAUAAGUUAGAGGUGAAAUACCGGGGCUCAACUCCGGAACUGCCUCUAAUACUGUUGAACUAGAGAGUAGUUGCGGUAGGCGGAAUGUAUGGUGUAGCGGUGAAAUGCUUAGAGAUCAUACAGAACACCGAUUGCGAAGGCAGCUUACCAAACUAUAUCUGACGUUGAGGCACGAAAGCGUGGGGAGCAAACAGGAUUAGAUACCCUGGUAGUCCACGCAGUAAACGAUGAUAACUCGUUGUCGGCGAUAUACAGUCGGUGACCAAGCGAAAGCGAUAAGUUAUCCACCUGGGGAGUACGUUCGCAAGAAUGAAACUCAAAGGAAUUGACGGGGGCCCGCACAAGCGGAGGAACAUGUG